UACGAAGGGAGCUAGCGUUGUUCGGAAUUACUGGGCGUAAAGCGCACGUAGGCGGCUUUGUAAGUUAGAGGUGAAAGCCCGGGGCUCAACUCCGGAACUGCCUUUAAGACUGCAUCGCUUGAAUCCAGGAGAGGUGAGUGGAAUUCCGAGUGUAGAGGUGAAAUUCGUAGAUAUUCGGAAGAACACCAGUGGCGAAGGCGGCUCACUGGACUGGUAUUGACGCUGAGGUGCGAAAGCGUGGGGAGCAAACAGG
rnacentral:rRNA from 1 species